rnacentral:rRNA from 1 species
AAAAUGAAAGUGGCAAACGGGUGAGUAACACGUUGGUGACCUGCCCCAAAGCGGGGGAUAACCCUGUUGAAACCAGGGCUAAAACCGCAGAGGUUGAAGCUAUUAGAAGGCUUCAACUAAAACUAAGGUGUUUUGGGAGGGGCCUGCGGGCUAUCAGCUAGUUGGUGGGGUAAAGGCCUACCAAGGCGAAGACGGCUAGGGGGCGUGAGAGCGCGACCCCCCACAAGGGAACUGAGACACGGUCCCUACUCCUACGGGAGGCAGCAGUGAGGAAUAUUGCCCAAUGGAGGAAACUCUGAGGCAGCAACGCCGCGUGAACGAUGACGGCCUUCGGGUUGUAAAGUUCUUUUCUAAGGGAAGAUGAUGACGGUACCUUAGGAAUAAGUCCCGGCUAACUACGUGCC